UCAAAAUUAAAUGAGUAACAAUUUUCAUGUUAUCAAUGUUAGAAUCGUUAUUUAUACGGUUAUGAAAUCUUAAUCUUAUCAAUAUGUGAAUUAUAGGGCACAAUUGAAAGAUGUGGUGCUAGAAGGAGGAGAUGCAUUUGGCCGAGCACAUGGUGGCAUGAAACUCUUCGACUAUAUGGGAACUGAUGAGAGAUUCAGCAAGCUCUUUAACCAGACAGGAUUCACAAUUGCGGUUGUGAAGAAGGCUCUUGACGUCUAUGAAGGCUUCAAAGAUGUGAAAGUGUUGGUUGAUGUGGGAGGAGGAGUAGGUAACACCCUUGGUGUUGUUACUUCCAAGUAUCCUCAUAUUAAGGGUAUCAACUUUGAUCUGACUUGUGCCUUGGCACAAGCACCCUCUUAUCCUGGGGUGGAACAUGUCCCCGGAGAUAUGUUUGUUGAUGUUCCAACCGGAGAUACCAUGAUUUUGAAAGUAAGUUCAUCAACUUAUCAUUCAUAUUUAUUGACAGCGUAUGUAUACUAGUAUUUUGUACUUACUGAUGGUAUUAUUUUUGUAUUACAGCGCAUACUUCAUGAUUGGACAGACGAAGACUGCGUGAAUAUUCUUAAAAAUUGUUGGAAAUCACUACCAAACAACGGUAAAAUUGUUGUCAUAGAAUUAGUCACUCCUGAUGACGCAGAGAAUGGUGACAUCAACGCAAACAUUGCCUUUGAUAUGGAUAUGUUGAUGUUCACACAAUGUUCUGGUGGAAAAGAGAGGUCACGUGCGGAGUUUAAAGCUUUAGCUGCAGCUGCUGGCUUCAACCAGUGCAAAUUCGUUUGCCAGGCAUAUCACUGUUGGAUUAUUGAGUUUUGUAAAGAAGAUGUGUAAAAUAUAAAAUAAAACCUCUUUAAAUGUUAGUUUCAUCUUGGUUCCGAUUCUUUGUUUGUGAUGAUCAUACAUUUGUGUGUAUGUGUAUGUUCAAGAAAUGUGAAAUAAUAAUAAGCUUUUUGUUUUACUCUUUGAGAACCAACUUUAUCUAGUUAAUUAGCCACAUGAGAUUCCUUUUGAAGAGCUCACAAGACUCACACAAAGGUUACUUCUCUAAUUUAAUGUUCAAUUUUCUAGUAUUGCAAAAAAACAUGAAAUAAUAUUCUUUGCUUUAGUUAAAUUUAAAAAUAUAUUUACAUAUUAGAUUUAGAUUGAUAUAAAUAUGAAAUGAAGCGUAUAAAAUAUUUAUGCAUGUAUGUGCAAGCGAAACACCUAGUUUUAUAUGGUUUUGGACAAAAAGUUAAAACUAGAUGUUAUCUUCUUGUUAUUUCAUAAAUUUAAGCAUAUAUAUAUUUGCAUGAUAUUAUAUGAAACCUUCUUAUCAACCGUAUAUACAUUAGCUAUACUGCCUUUGUUUUUUUUUUCUUAAGAAAAUAGAGAAUAUCGUUUGGACAUUUACCAACUUAAUUUGUAACUUAACUUGUUAUUUUAUACUAUUUUUUUUUUUUGUGGAGAAAUCCUUUUAUAUGGUUACUUCAAACAAAAGAAUUCAGUUUUGUUUAUGCUGACUAAGUCCAACAUGGCAUAAUUAGUGAAGUUUGACAGCAAUUUGUGAACUUCCUCGAAGGAUAGACAAAAUAAGAUGUAUGCCAUAAAGGACACUUGUGAUGUUACACACUCGCUUCGAUGGACCAAAUGGUUGUCCCCUUCCUUAGUCACACUCGUCCGGAUAAAGUUGGAGUCAUGCAUUUGCAUACGCAUGUCUCGAGUAUUAUAAUAUUAUCAUGUUGGUCAAAUUGAAGAACGAAAUACUUAGCAAACUGAAGAUUUCCCAAGAUUUUCUUCUAUAGGUUAUGUUACUCUGCAAACAUGUAUAAGAUGAACUUAUAUAGUCACUUGGUUGUAGAGAUAGAUACAAAUCGAUAUCUAAUUUUUAGAAGUAUUCGUGAUUUGAUUUGUUCUGUCUGAAUAGUCAUUUAUUUGAUUGGAUUCGAUCUGAUUUGCAAAUACACGAAUAUUUGGUGUUUGGAUAAAAACAAAUCUGAUUUAAUUCUUAUAAAUACAAUAAAAUUAGAAAAACUAAAAAAAAAAAAAUCCUGCAAUAAUAUAAAAUAGUAAUAUGCUAUUACAAAAAAAGAAUAUUUACUUUUAAAACUCUAAUGUCUAAAAUAAUCAUUUUAAAUAAAUAUAGAUAUUCUAAAGCUUAUAUAAAUACAGUAACUAUAUAAUUUUAUAUAUAUACAUAUAACAGAUCAGAUCGGAUAUCCAUUUUUAAAAAUAUUAGUAUUUGUUAUUUGUUUCAGUUUUAAUGUAUACUGCAUAUUAGUAUUUUAUUUUUCUGUUCGGAUAAAAACAAAAUAAAAACAUAUAACGAAUUGAAUGGAUAUUUUACUUAUCCCGACUUGGUUGCAUCAUAGUGUUGAAAUUAAAAUGCCUUGACUUCUACUAAAAACUCAAACUAACUUAAAACAAAAUCUAAUUGUUUCAGCCGCCAAAACUGGCUCUUACUUUUCUACAUAAGACUCAGACUAUUCAGCCAACCAAAUGGAUCGGCAAGCCGACGAUAUAAUAAAAUAAAUUAAAGAAAGAAAGAGGAGGCUAAGCCUUAGCUAUAAAAAGGAGAAACCAGGAUCCAUCAUUUCAUCAUCCUCAACAUUACACAUAAGAAACAAAUACACACACACACACACACAUUCUCUAUCUCUCUGUUCCCUUGCUUCUGAUCAGUGUAAUCACCAAGGUACCUUGAAGGAGAAGAAAGAAAAGAUCAUAAAAAAAAAUGGGAAUCCUUUUUGAAGAAACCUUAAGCUCUAACCCCACAAUCCAAAUUGCUACCGAUGAUGAUAAUGAGUUGGGAUUAAUGGCCGUGAGAAUAGCCAAUGCUGCAGCCUUUCCCAUGGUUCUCAAAGCUGCCCUUGAACUCGGUGUCUUCGACACUCUCUAUGCCGCCUCUGUGUUCCUCUCACCAUCUGAGAUAGCAACUAGGCUACCAACUGCACCACGUAACCCGGAGGCGCCAGCUUUAUUGGACCGAAUGCUUCGUCUACUCGCUAGCUAUUCCAUGGUCAAGUGCGGUACGGACCAAGCUGGAAAAGGCGAGAGGGUCUACAGAGCCGAGCCAAUUUGUAGGUUCUUCUUGAAAGAUAACAUUCAAGACAUUGGAUCCCUUGCUUCCCAAGUCAUUGUCAAUUUUCACAGCGUCUUCCUUAAUACCUGGUAAUUUUUUAUUCAUAGAUUGAAAGUUAUUACAACAUUCAGUUUAAAUAUAAUAAAUCUUACCCUUAUUGAUACGCAUUUUUCUCAGGGCCCAAUUGAAAGAUGUGGUGCUAGAAGGAGGAGAUGCAUUUGGCCGUGCACAUGGUGGCAUGAAACUCUUCGACUAUAUGGGAACAGAUGAGAGAUUCAGCAAGCUCUUUAACCAGACCGGAUUUACCAUCGCUGUCGUAAAGAAGGCUCUUGAAGUUUACCAAGGUUUCAACGGUGUAAAUGUUUUAGUUGAUGUGGGAGGAGGAGUUGGUAAC
rnacentral:lncRNA from 1 species